CCAUAAACAAAAAAUACCAAGACUGGAAACUCGGCGGUCAACUGACGUUUGCCUACAAGCUGCGAGGUGUGGUGAAUGUCGUGAACCUAUCGUUGUGUUCGUGUUGGAUGUGUGGUGAAUGUCGUGAAUCUAUAAAUGUGUGCGUGUUAACGUCAUUUACCAACGUGGUGGCUUUCACAUAUAUUCACAGACAGCACUGUACACAAAAGGGUUUUGGGGGGAAAGACGUACGAAAUUUUCCAGUCUUGGUAUUUUUUGUUUAUGGUUUUGGGGGGAAAGACGUACGAAAGUUUCCAGUCUUGGUAUUUUUUGUUUAUGUCUAACAGAUUAACAUUGAAACUCAAGUCCAGAAGCUGAGUUGGAAAAAGUUAUGUCGUUUUCUAUUGACGAAUCUCAGAAUGAGAUUUGUGAAUUUGACAGCUGAAAGGGGGGGUGAAGAGGGGAAAUAGUGGACAAAUCUCAGAUUUCAUGAUCUAUUUGCGUCCUGAGAUUCAAAAAAAUGACAAAAAAAUGAAUCUGAGAUUCAAGAAUCUGAUUCUGGAUUUUUAUCAAGAUUCACGCAUACAAACACACGCAC